GAAUUGAUGUGAUGAUUGAGGUGGAAGGCUACCUUAACCUAUGGAUCAAAGAUUGAUCAAGAAAGACAAAUUGUCUCAUGCUUCAAGUACCAAGAAGAUAAUUUCUUGCAAGAUAAGGAAAAAUGGUGUUGUGUCCCUUGGCGAAUGUAGUGAUGGACUGGUCUUUGGCACUUCUCAGUCGACCAGGUAAUAUACAUCCUCCAACCUUACCAGCUACAUAAUUUUGUGGGGUUCUCCAGUUUAAUUCUUUCUAAAAUUUGAUAACCUGCCCAAGGUCCGGAUUCACCUAGCACAACCGGAGACAUGGUCGGUUGCCUGUUGGUCUGGAAACUACACAACUUCUCUGAAACCCACUAGCCAAGACAGGUGACUGCCCUUUGUCACAUGCUUGAAUCGAUUUGGGCAUAGCAGUCUGGACAGGAAGUUAGUUUUAAGUGGGUGCAGGGCUCUACGCUCUCUCAUCUUGGUUUUGA